rnacentral:rRNA from 1 species
UACGUAGGAUGCAAGCGUUGUCCGGAAUUAUUGGGCGUAAAGAGCUCGUAGGCGGUCUGUCGCGUCUGCUGUGAAAACUCAGGGCUUAACCCUGAGCUUGCAGUGGGUACGGGCAGACUAGAGUGCGGUAGGGGAGACUGGAAUUCCUGGUGUAGCGGUGAAAUGCGCAGAUAUCAGGAGGAACACCGGUGGCGAAGGCGGGUCUCUGGGCCGUAACUGACGCUGAGGAGCGAAAGCAUGGGGAGCGAACAGG